rnacentral:rRNA from 1 species
CCACGGGAGGCAGCAGUGAGGAAUAUUGGUCAAUGGGCUUACGCCUGAACCAGCCAAGUCGCGUGAGGGAAGACUGCCCUAUGGGUUGUAAACCUCUUUUGUCAGGGAGCAACGCCGGCUACGUGUAGCCGGACUGAGAGUACCUGAAGAAAAAGCAUCGGCUAACUCCGUGCAAGCAGCCGCGGUAAUACGGAGGAUGUGAGCGUUAUCCGGAUUUAUUGGGUUUAAAGGGUGCGUAGGCGGAAUGCCAAGUCAGCGGUAAAAUCGCGGGGCUCAACCUCGCUCCGCCGUUGAAACUGGCGUUCUUGAGUGGGCGAGAAGUAUGCGGAAUGCGUGGUGUAGAGGUGAAAUGCAUAGAUAGCACGCAGAACUCCGAUUGCGAAGGCAGCAUACCGGCGCCCAACUGACGCUGAAGCACGAAAGCGUGGGUAUCGAACAGGAUUAGAUACCCGGGUAGUC